GGAGGACAGAGAACAGUGGACACACUGUUUAACAUGAUGGACUAUUGGACAGGACUGCUGCUUUUAACUCUCUGCUGGACAGGUGUUGAUGGACAGACUCUGACACAAUCUGAACCAGCAAUUAAAACAUUUGGAGCAACCCACAGAUUGACCUGUACAGCCUCUGGGUUGGACAUUAAUGGCUCCACCAUGUACUGGAUGAGAAUCAGACAGGAUGUUGGAAUAGAACGGUACCGUCCUAGACAGACUGGUGGAGAAGCACCGCUAUUGAUCGCUUACAGUAGCAGUGCUAGUAGCGGCCUCUACUCGGGUGUUCCAUCCCGCUUUGCCGUCUCCAGAGACAACAACAGGAAGCAGCUGUAUCUGCAGAUUAACCAUAUACAGAUUGGAGAUUCUGCUGUUUAUUAUUGUGCUCUACAGCCACAGUGACUGGAGUUGGUUGAGCAGCUGUACAAAAUCCCUCAGUACUCAUUUGAUCAGGCUGGUAGAGCCCA